GGGGUCCGCAUUGUAAUUUGCAGAGGAUGCUUCGGGAGUGGCCCCCAUCUAAGUGCUCUGGAACGGGCCGUCAUAGAGGGUGAGAAUCCCGUAUGGGAUGGGGUGUCCGCGACCAUGUGAAGCUCCUUCGACGAGUCGAGUUGUUUGGGAAUGCAGCUCUAAAUGGGUGGUAAAUUUCAUCUAAAGCUAAAUAUUGGCCGGAGACCGAUAGCGCACAAGUAGAGUGAUCGAAAGAUGAAAAGCACUUUGAAAAGAGAGUUAAAAAGCACGUGAAAUUGUUGAAAGGGAAGCGCUUGCGACCAGACUCGCCUACGGGGUUCAGCCGGUAUUCGUACCGGUGUACUUCCCCGUGGGCGGGCCAGCGUCGGUUUGGGCGGCCGGUCAAAGGCCCUCGGAAUGUAACGCCUCUCGGGGCGUCUUAUAGCCGAGGGUGCCAUGCGGCCAGCCCGGACCGAGGAACGCGCUUCGGCACGGACGCUG
rnacentral:rRNA from 1 species